rnacentral:rRNA from 1 species
GUGGGGAAUAUUGGACAAUGGGGGCAACCCUGAUCCAGCAAUUCUGUGUGCACGAUGAAGGUUUUCGGAUUGUAAAGUGCUUUCAGCAGGGAAGAAAAAAAUGACGGUACCUGCAGAAGAAGCGACGGCUAAAUACGUGCCAGCAGCCGCGGUAAUACGUAUGUCGCAAGCGUUAUCCGGAAUUAUUGGGCAUAAAGGGCAUCUAGGCGGCCAGAUAAGUCUGGGGUGAAAACUUGCGGCUCAACCGCAAGCCUGCCCUGGAAACUAUGUGGCUAGAGUACUGGAGAGGUGGACGGAACUGCACGAGUAGAGGUGAAAUUCGUAGAUAUGUGCAGGAAUGCCGAUGAUGAAGAUAGUUCACUGGACGGUAACUGACGCUGAAGUGCGAAAGCUAGGGGAGCAAACAGG